ensembl:lncRNA
GACAGGGAAGUGUGACGUGCUGCAGUCCAUGGGGUUGCAAAGAGUUGGACAUGACUGAGAACUGAACACAUACAACACAAUGAUUAAUAAUGUUGAGCAUUUUUCAUAUGCUUAUUAGCAACUCAUAUAUGGUUUUUUAAAAAUGUCAGUUCAGAUCCUUUACCCAUUCUAAAAUUGUGUUAUUUGUCUUUCAUUAUUAAGUUGUGAGGAUACUUUCCCUGGAGAACGGAUGGCAACUCACUCCAAUAUUCUUGCCUGAAGAAUCCCAUGGAGAGUGGAACCUGGCAGGCUACAGUCCACGGGGUCACAGAGUCGGACACAACUUGAACGACUACACUACUCCUAAGGGAGAGGUUGGUUUCUUUAGAAGCCCAGAAGGACUGCAAUCCUAGGCCGUGAGGUAGGGCACCUGGAGAUGAGCACCACUGGAGGCCUGAAUGGGAAGGAGCAGAAUGACUGAGAUGAUGCUCUGAGCAUUCUCAUCGCUGGAGGGACCCUCGUCGUCACUGUCCUCAACAACCACGGGAUGGAACCAAUGUGUGGCCUGGAUGCCUGUGGGAGCAGUAGCCAGCCAGCAUGUCAGCCACUGUGACACUUGCCGGUGGCUGAGAAAGACUCAGGAACUUGAAGAAUGUGUGUGGGACUACAUUUAUCUUGAAUUUUCUGCAUCCUCAUAUACCUUUUGGCUUCUCCAGUGGCUCAGUGGUAAAGAAUCUGCGUGCAAUGCAGGAGACGUGGAUUUGAUCCUUGGGUCGUGAAGAUCCCGUGCAGGAGGAAAUAGCAACCCGCUCCAGUAUUCUUGCCAUGGACAGAGGAGCCUGGUGAGCUACAGUUCAUGGGGUUGCAAAGAGUCUGAAGUGACUGAGCAACUGAGUGCACAUGUGCACAGAUACACACAUACACACACACACACACACAGAACACACACACACACACACCACACACACACCCCUUUCUCAGACCUUCAACAGCUAACUUCAGCUCUUAGCAUUGCAGUAGACCUAAGCCCAGUGCGGCUUCCAGGAUGAGGCAGAUAUUUCCAUAGUUUAAUUUUCAUGGUGAGAUAUUUCCGUGGCAAAUUCAGUUGAAUCGUGAAUCUAACCACCAAGCGAUUAUUGUCUCUUGCCACCCUGUUCUAUUCCCCAUCCCCCGCCCCCAUUUCUCAGUUUCUCAUCUCUUUCACUUUAUGUUAUGUGAUUCAGAAAGGAAAAAACAAGAGCUGGUCCUCACUGUACAGAGGGAGUCAGGCUAUGAUGUGAGACAUGAGCUCAAGUCCCUCUGUGACACUUGUUCUAAAUCACAUGUGCUGAUUAGACUCCCACGUUGCAUCUUGUUUUUGAAGAGAGUGACCCUAAUUGACCCAGACUUUCAAUGGCAAGUAAUAUUUUAUCCAGACACUGAACUGUAUAAAGGAAGAAGGGUUAUGGGAGGACAGGGAGACACAAUGGCCCAGCAUGGAGUCAGCAUCAUGUUUAUGCUUCAGUUGCUUUUUCCACUAAGCAGUUGAGAAUUCUGUCUGGAUCAAGUGAAAGGAGGAGAUGGGACAUAGGAAAAAUAUUUGCAGGGAAUUUGAGAAACUUUUCUGCUGAAUAAGAUUAAGAGUUAAUCAUUGUAUGGUUUAUAAUAGGGAAAUAAUUAUUCUAUAUCAUUUUUGAGAUUUUAGAAAAAAUACCCUAAGCCUAAUUUCAACAAUAAAUUAAUCCACUGGUCCAAGUGUUUAUCCAUUACUCACUCUCUGCUCAGUACUACGAUUGUCAGGAAUGUGACCAUGUUGGCCAUGAUCCCUAACCUAAUUAUAAGAACGGAGACUAGAAAUGUUUAUAAGGUUAGAAAAACUAAAAUAAUUUAAAUUAUUCCCCUGAGACUCUGGGUGUAGGACUGGAAAGUAAAUCAGUCAUUGGCGAACACAUAUCAAGACUCAAAUCCUAUGCCUGAAUGGUCUUUGAGAAGGACAAUUUCAAGAUCUUAGGUCCUCACUGAAAUAUUUAUUUUGUACAUGAAGUAGAUAAGGAGACAGAGUGUGGAGUUUCUUUUUGAACUUUCUUUUACCAGCCUUGGUAUGUGGAUGACAUAGUUAUUGUUAAGGAGCAUGUAGUAUAGUUCAGAUUUAAGUGAUAGGACAGACAAAAUAUAAUUUGUGGGAUGAAUAGAAGCAUUUAAUUGUGUCUAAAGCACCUCUUUAGGGGGCUGGGAUGUCAGAUGAAAUGCUCACAGUCACCACUUCUGCGUUUCCUUUGGUACAAAGAUCUGUGGGUGGAGAAGGGAAGGAGGUUGCUCACCCGGUAGCCUGGGUGAGGCCGCCAACGGCUGAUCUUUCAGAUUACAUUGUUGGCACUGCUCUGGCAAGUCUGCAACUUAAUUUCAGUGAAGCAAAAUAAAUAUGAGCAAACCUCCAGGCAAAUGAACAUAACGCCAGAGGCAGUAUACAGUAGGGAAAACAAAAUGGGAUUUGGUAAUCUGGCAGCCUUAAGUGGGACUCUGUGCUCAUCACUCAUAAACUUAGCCUGUUUUUUUUUUUUUUUUUAAAUUAAUUGCUUAUUUUUGGCUGUGCUGAGUCCUUGUGCUGCAUGCAGUCCUCUAGUUGCAGUACACAAAAUUUACCACUGCAGAAGUCCUGAGCAGGCUAUUGAUACACCUGCUUCUUUCACUACAAAUCCCUGAAAGGUAGAUAUUUUGUCAUUUAAAAAGUGUUUUUAUGAUGACAAAUAUAAUCAAUAUUCAUGGUAGAAAAAUAGAAGAACAAAUAGAAAAUCAAAAUUACCCUUUAUUCAAAUAUCAUAGCCCUUAACAUUUUGUAACAUCUUUUCAGGUUUUUCCUUUUGUGUGUGUAUGUGUUGCUGUGCUUAGUCAUUCAGUCGUGUCCAACUCUUUGCAACCCCGUGGACUAUAGCCCAUCAGGCUCCUCUGUCCAUGGGGAUUCUCCAGGCAAGAAUACUGGAGUGGGUAGCCAGGCCCUUUGCCAGGGGAUCUUUCUGACCUAGAAAUUGAACUGGGGGUCUCCUGCAUUGCAGACAGAUUCUUUACCAGCUGAGCUACAUCUUUUCAGAUUUUUCUCUUUGUGUGUGUGUGUAGUUAAUCAAAAUUGUUAUUUCAUGACCAUGUCUUAUUGGUUCUUUUUAUUCUUUGUGCUUGGUUUAAUGAAUGCACAAGUGAAUAAAUGGCCUCAAACUUCUUGGUGUUGAGAACCUUCCUAGAGAAAAUAAGAACAGUGACAGGAAUGAUGACAUCUAGAGUUCUGAGGAUUGAAUGAGAUACUGGCUCUGUAGUGCCCAUUCAUUGCCACUGAAGCUCUUACUGUUAUUUUAUUUCUCACUGAAAAGAGAGAGAGAUGCUAAAUACUCUGCUUCAGGGAAUUUGAAAUUAUUCAUGAUGGUCUUUAGUUACAGUUUGGAAUCAGGCAAUAAGUCUAAUACAAGAUGUUUAUUACUCCCAGAGUAUGGGAAUGGAUUGUGACUCCAAAUGUAGGCCUGGUGUUGUACGGCAAAGGGUGUCACUGAAGUCAGAAACAGGGAAGAUUGUAGUUGGUUUCAGAGUGCUCUGAGAGUGGUAACUUUGUUCUCAAGCCGUUUUUCAAGUAAGACACAGUUCGCUCUCUGAUAAUACCAGGUCUGUGAUUCAAGCUCCAUCAUGUUAAGAUUCCCAAGUGUCCUUUUCUUCCUUGGAAGCAUCUUUUCUACAGGUCUCUUUCUAAAGAGCUGUUGUGGGCCUGGAUUGUGGGGGUGAAGGCGGGGCAUAGGAAAUACCUUUAGUGAAGCCGUGCUCAGAGAGUCCUCUAAUCCUCGAGCCUCCCUCUCUCGUUGGUUCCCUUCCUCUCUAGGGUUGGAGCUGUAGCUGGGCAGCUAACAUGUAUCGUGGUAUCAAAAGUCAACUGUUUUCCACAUAUGAUACUAAGACCAAAAG